rnacentral:rRNA from 1 species
GACGUAGGGGGCCAGCGUUGCUCGGAAUUACUGGGCGUAAAGGGUUCGUAGGCGGUGCGGUAAGUCGGACGUGAAAUCUCUGGGCUUAACUCAGAGGCUGCUUUCGAAACUGCCGUGCUAGAGUGCGGGAGAGGCGAGUGGAAUUGCAGGUGUAGCGGUGAAAUGCGUAGAUAUCUGCAGGAACACCCGUGGCGAAGGCGGCUCGCUGGACCGCAACUGACGCUGAGGAACGAAAGCUAGGGGAGCAAACAGG